UAUUAAAAUUCCUGUGCCCCACAGACGAACAAGAGGCCUUGAACUCCAUCAUGAAGGACCUGGUAGCACUCCAGAUGAGUCGACGUCACAGGCUGACUGGAUUUGAUACCAUGAAGAAUAAAGACACCUCUCACUCCAACAAACAGAAAAAGCACAAUGCCAGCAGUCCACCCCUCUUGGGCAGCCCUGCAAUAGCAAACCAGUGUGCCUCUGCAGUGGAAGAAAAAAAAUUCCGAACGAUGUGAGGAUAAAGUUUGAAUAUAAUGGGGAAAGACGAAUUAUCCCAUUUGUCCGUCCCGUGCGCUAUGAAGAUGUGCAACAGAAAGUGAAAACAGCCUUUGGGCAGCCUCUGGACCUCCACUACCUGAACAAUGAGCUUUCUAUUCCUUUGAAAAACCAAGAUGACCUGGAUAAAGCAGUAGAUCUCUUAGACCGAAGCUCUAAUGUGAAAAGCCUUAGAAUAUUACUGCUUUCUCAGGACAGAAACCAUACCAGUUCUUCACCCCAUUCUGGACUGCCCAAACAAGUCAGGAUUAAAACCUCCCAAUCUGUGGGGGAUGUGAACACACCCUAUCAGCAGGCAGAGCCCCGAAGCAGGCACCUUUCUGUCAGUGAGUAUUUCUGUCACUUUUUG